rnacentral:rRNA from 1 species
UACGUAGGCAGCAAGCGUUGUUCGGAGUUACUGGGCGUAAAGAGUGCGUAGGUGGUGCCCUAAGUCUGUUGUGAAAUCCCCGGGCUCAACCUGGGAACUGCAUUGUGACUGCAAGGCUAGAGUACGGUAGAGGGGAUGGAAUUCCGCGUGUAGCAGUGAAAUGCGUAGAUAUGCGGAGGAACACCGAUGGCGAAGGCAAUCCCCUGGACCUGUACUGACGCUCAUGCACGAAAGCGUGGGGAGCAAACAGG